GAAGGUCAGAAGUCCAGCACACUGUGGCUGGGCUGUCUGGUCAGGCUGAAGUCAAGGUGAUGGCAGGCUGCGUUCUCAUCUGGCACUAGAGAUCCUUCCCCGGCUCAUUCUUCUUCUUGGCAGAACCAGUUCCUUGCAGCUGUCAGACUAGAAUCCUCAUAUUCUUGCUGCUUGCCUGUCACAAAGAUUCAGAUGUAUUCAGUUGGGAUAAGCACCAUUUAAGGCUUUGCCAAUCAGAUGUUCUCACCCAGACCUUUGACUCCGGAAUGGGGAACACGGAACAGUUAAGAACACCAUGUACAGUUAUGAAAAAUUCAUAGCAGCCAUACUGGCAGCAUCGAGAGUCUGUGGUGCCAGCGAACAUCUGAAAGAAGUGUCCUAUCUGGAUUCCUUGGAGCGCUGACCAUUUCAUGUGUCUGGUUCCGGAGUCCUCAUGUCACUUCUGUGCACUUUGGCAUUUGAUUCUAAGAAAUAGUUUGGCUUAACUAACGACAAUAUCUGCUCCUUGAGGGCAGUAAGUUGACUUAGCAAAGCAAUUCAAGAGAGACUAUUUUAUGGAAGUCAAUGCAAAGGUAAUCAUUAACAAGAAGGAAAAUUGCAAGAGGUUGGCAUUGGGGAUUUAUAUCCACCCAGUAGUUGUCCUUAAAGAGAAGUAUAUAUUGCAAUCUAUACUCUAAUCAGAAGAUCUGGGAAUGUGGAUUCCAUAAGAGAUUUUUAUCAGAGUCACGUGGCUGCAGCUGACCACAGAAUCAAGCAAGGGGACUCUAAUAUAGAUUCACUUUCAUUAGUAGGACUCUUCUGCUAUCAUGGCUAAAGAAA